AUAAUCAAAGAGACGACGACGAACAAGUAGUAGAGCAAGACACACUAAAGGAG
rnacentral:sRNA from 1 species